CACACACACACACACACACACACACACACACACACACACACACACAUUCGUACGCACUGAAACAACUUCCGUACCUCACGAAAACAUAUUUAAACAGAUGGAAAAAACUAUCGCAGAACACAGUGUCACGUAGCAACUGGUCUUUACGGUCGUUUGAAUCAACAGGUCAGUUUGGGGGACAAAAGGAGGGUUCAGUUUUUACUGACUUCCCAUCUGACAGUUUAAAUGUUUAUGACCGUUUGAAUCAACAGGACACGCACGCACACACACACACACGCACGCACACACACACACACACACACAUACACACACACACGCACACACACACACACACACACACACACACACACACACCAUUACCUCUGCUUUACCAUGUUAUUAGACAUUGGUUUAACUCCAUUUAAGCAUUUAAACGUUAAAAGCAUUGCACUUGUACGACGUUGUAAUACUUUUUUUUUACCAGCCGAUGACGACGAAGUGAAAGACGAUGAACUUUGCUUAAACAGUCUUACAAAGUUGGAAGAUGAUUAUCGAGGUGUGUUUAAACCUUCGAAUUAUUUAAUAUUGUGUGUAUUCAUUAUUUUGUUUUAUAGAGGAUUUGCCGUAAGAUCCUAACGCGAUCGUUUUAACACAAUCGCAGUCUGCUGGCGGGUCCGUCAACGGCCGUUCCAGGCAGAGGAGAAGGCUUGAUUGUGCCAAAGACUCCAGACAUCGAAUCCUUGCUCCGAGGGGAAAUCAUCGAAAACGACGGUGAAUGUCCAACAGGCACCCGCUAUUGGUAACACUGGACAAGUCGGAUAUCCUUGCUUGGAUCCUUUUAAAGUUGCCCGAUAAACUGCUGAGAGUUGAUCUCUCCUCUUGUCCAAAGGUUUUUCGUUCAUUUUUACUUGUAAUACUGGCACUAGGGUUGAUGUAGUAGCUCCACAACAUAACCUUAAAGCCUGUGACUGGAUCCGGUCUAUUUUCCCAAGUCAUGUUUUUGAAGCAGAUUGGUAAAUAAUGCAUCCGUAAUCAAUAACAGAUGGAAUUAAAGUUAUAAA